rnacentral:lncRNA from 1 species
GGGGACCCCUCCCAUCCCUCUUAGUGUUGUCAGGUAAUGUAUAGUAUGGUCCCAUUUGUAUAAAAACAAAACGGUAAAUGGUAUGUGCAUAGAAAAGUCCUAGAAUAAACAGAUCUUAACCACAGCAAUUACUUCUGGGGAGCUGACAUAAGUAGUGGGUUUCAGGAUUAGACCUUUGUAUUUCAGUAUAUGCCCUUCUGCUCUGUUUGACUUUCUUAUCAUGAACUUAUAUUGCUUUUAUAAUAAAAAUGAAAGAAAAAAACUUCCCAGCUACUGUAUAAAUACUUCAUCAGCACUAAAAAAUAUCACCUUGUGAAUUCUAGAUUUAAAUGUGUGUGGUGGGCAACAUUUAAUGUCAAAUGUUGGUAUCUGGGGAAGUAGACUUUUAUAAAUUGUGAC